AUUCCAUGGUGAGGACAAUCUAAUAUGUAUCCUUGAAAACGCUCCCAUGCUUCUGAAAUGGCUUCUGUCUUCUGCUGUU
rnacentral:snoRNA from 1 species